rnacentral:rRNA from 1 species
UUAGUACGGCGAGUGAAGCGGCAAAAGCUCAAAUUUGAAAUCUAGCACUUUCAGUGUUCGAGUUGUAAUUUGAAGAAGGUAACUUUGGAAUUGGCUCUUGUCUAUGUUCCUUGGAACAGGACGUCACAGAGGGUGAGAAUCCCGUGCGAUGAGAUGUCCAAUUCUAUGUAAAGUGCUUUCGAAGAGUCGAGUUGUUUGGGAAUGCAGCUCUAAGUGGGUGGUAAAUUCCAUCUAAAGCUAAAUAUUGGCGAGAGACCGAUAGCGAACAAGUACAGUGAUGGAAAGAUGAAAAGAACUUUGAAAAGAGAGUGAAAAAGUACGUGAAAUUGUUGAAAGGGAAGGGCUUGAGAUCAGACUUGGUAUUUUGUGUUCCUUAUCCUUCUUGGAUUAGGUUCCUCACAGCUUACCGGGCCAGCAUCGGUUUGGAUGGCAGGAUAAUGACAUUGGAAUGUAGCUUUGCUUCGGUGAAGUGUUAUAGACUUUGUUGAUACUGCCUAUCUAGACCGAGGACUGCGUCUUUGACUAGGAUGCUGGCGUAAUGAUCUUAAGCCGCCCGUCUUGAAACACGGACCAAAA